UGGAUAGAAUAUUCCUGCCAAAAGACAGCAGAAGGGGGACUAACUGAUGUAUGGAUUUUGACACCAGAUUUUACCCUGCACGAGCAGCCCAACUUGAGUAGAUCAGGAGUGGGAAAACUGAGCCCUGUCCUUGACCAAGGAAAGUUGGAUUUGUUGAGAGGACCUGAUCUCAAAUGAGAUCAUGCACAAGACGCACCUCGCAAAGGCCAUGACAGUAUAGUUUUCAGACCUGAUCAGCUGGUGACUGCUCUAUGAAGUGCUGUUCAACCUCCCCUAAGGGGGAGAUUCGAGAGGGUCUCCUGAUUGCUGAACACUACGCCAUGGUUGUUGUCAUCUCCAAAAAGUUUGCCCUGCCCAUAUCAACAGUGGAAGAGAACAUGAGAUGGGCCUUGAGGAGGCUUCGUGUCAUGUACUGCGGGGAGAAUAUAUAAACUGUUUAGUGCUGAGCAAUAUGUUCCUUUGUUCAUAGGUGUAAAUAUGUGUAAAGGGCUAUUCCAGGAAAAGAUAGGAUGAAGGAUUCCUUAAUGUUGUCAUUUUAUAAAUCCGGUACCACCAACACAGUUAAAAACAAUUAUUAUUAAUUUUAUCCUCUGUAUCACCCCUCACUAACUGAAACUGUAUAUAAUCAUGGUUCAUACCCUUCCUCCCAUUUUUACCUGUGGUAGCCCAAAGAGGAGAAUGUUAUUUAUUUUAAUUUAUUAUGUUAAAUGUGCUCGCAUAUUGUGAUAAUGUAUCUUGGGUAGAUGUUUUCCUGGUUUUGUUAAAAAUGCACUGUAAAAAUGUUCACAUUAUUUGUUUUUUUUAAUAUAAACAUUGUUUUUUGCAAA